rnacentral:rRNA from 1 species
ACUGCUCAGUAACACGUGGAUAACCUGCCCAAGGGUCUGGGAUAACCCCGGGAAACUGGGGAUAAUACCGGAUGGAUCACUAGUGCUGGAAUGCUUGGUGGUUUAAAGGUAACGCCUUUGGAUGGGUCUGCGGCGGAUUAGGUUGACGCCGGUGUAACGUACCGGCGUGCCUGUAAUCCGUACGGGUUGUGGGAGCAAGAGCCCGGAGAUGGAUUCUGAGACACGAAUCCAGGCCCUACGGGGCGCAGCAGGCGCGAAAACUCUACAAUGCAGGCAACUGCGAUAGGGGGACAUCGAGUGGCAUCCACCUUGGGUGCCUGUCCAACCGUCUAAAAAACGGUUGUUAGCAAGGGCCGGGUAAGACCGGUGCCAGCCGCCGCAGUAAUACCGGCGGCUCGAGUGGUGGCCGAUAUUAUUGAGUCUAAAGGGUCCGUAGCCGGCUUUGCAAGUCCCCUGGGAAAUCCAGCGGCUUAACCGUUGGGCUUUCAUGGGAUACUACAUUGCUUGGGACUGGGAGAGGUAGGAGGUACUCGGGGGGUAGGGGUGAAAUCCUGUAAUCCUCCGGGGACCACCGGUGGCGAAGGCGUCCUACCAGAACAGGUCCGACGGUGAGGGACGAAAGCUAGGGGCACGAACCGGAUUGGAUACCCGGGUAGUCCUAGCCGUAAACGAUGCCCGCUAGGUGUCACGACAGUCGUGAAUCGUCGUGGUGCCGUAGGGAAGCCGCGAAGCGGGCCACUUGGGAAGUACGGCCGCAAGGCUGAAACUUAAAGGAAUUGGCGGGGGAGCACA